rnacentral:misc_RNA from 1 species
GAAAUGCGAUAAGUAGUGUGAAUUGCAGAAUUCAGUGAAUCAUCGAAUCUUUGAACGCACAUUGCGCCCCUUGGUAUUCCUUGGGGCAUGCCUGUUCGAGCGUCAUUUGUACCUUCAAGCUUUGCUUGGUGUUGGGUGUUUGUCUCGCCUCCGCGCGUAGACUCGCCUCAAAACAAUUGGCAGCCGGCGUAUUGUUUUCGGAGCGCAGUACAUCUCGCGCUUUGCACUCAUAACGACGACGUCCAAAAGUACAUUUUUACACUCUUGACCUCGGAUCAGGUAGGGAUACCCGCUGAACUUAAGC